GCGCGAAAACUUUACAAUGCUGGCAACAGCGAUAAGGGAACCUCGAGUGCCAGGUUACAAAUCUGGCUGUCGAGAUGCCUAAAGAGCAUUUCAUAGCAAGGGCCGGGCAAGACCGGUGCCAGCCGCCGCGGUAACACCGGUGGCUCGAGUGGUAACCGUUAUUAUUGGGUCUAAAGGGUCUGUAGCCGGCCGGAUAAGUCUCUUGAGAAAUCUGGCAGCUUAACUGUCAGGCUUUCAGGAGAUACUGUCUGGCUCGAGGCCGGGAGAGGUGAGAGGUACUUCAGGGGUAGGGGUGAAAUCUUGUAAUCCUUGAAGGACCACCAAUGGCGAAGGCGUCUCACCAGAACGGACCUGACGGCAAGGGACGAAAGCUAGGGGCACGAACCG
rnacentral:rRNA from 1 species